rnacentral:rRNA from 1 species
UUUAAUUUUUUAUUUAAUUUUUUUUUGGAAUUAUUUAUAAGAAAUAUAUUUGUUUUUAUUAAUUUUGUUUGAAUAAAUUUUUUUAAUUAUAGUUGAUUUGUACUGUGAAGGAUUAUUUUUUAAUUUGGAAAAGAAGAUUUAUUUUAUUGUACCUUGUGUAUCAGGGCUGAUUAAUUUAUAAUUAGGGAAGAGAUUAGUGAUCCCGAAUUUAAAAGAGCUAUAAUUUUAUAUAUUUUACUGUUGAAUAAGUAUUUAUAAUUUUUUUAUAGAAAUGAAACGUUAUUCGUUUUUAAAUAUAUCUGGUUUUUCAAGAAAUGAAUUUAAUUUAUUGGGUGGUUGAUGUUUAUAUAAUUUUUUAUUUGGGCAUUAAAAACUUAUAAACAUUCAAUGGGAUGAGCUUUUGAAUGGAUUUUUAAAAUUUAUUGAGUAAUAUUUUUUUAUAGGAUUAGAAUUUUUCAUUAAUUGUAGUAUGUUAUAAUAAGUUGAUUGGAAAUAUUAUUUUAUUUGGUUUAAGUUUUUUAUUGGAAUUUUGUUAUUAAUUUUUAAUGUUAAUUAAUAAUGAUUAGAUUAGUAUAUUAUUUUGUGAUUAUUUUUAAUUGUUAAGUUAAAUCGAAGGAACUCGGCAAAUAUAAUUUUCACCUGUUUAUUAAAAACAUGUCUUUUUGAUAAUGAUAUAAGGUCUGACCUGCCCAAUGAUUAUUUAAAUGGCCGCAGUAUUUUGACUGUGCAAAGGUAGCAUAAUCAUUAGUUUCUUUAUUGGGAGCUGGAAUGAAAGGUUGGAUGAGAAAUUAACUGUCUCUGGUUUAAGAAUGGAACUUUAUUUUUUAGUGAAAAAGCUUGGAUUUUUUAGGAAGACGAGAAGACCCUAUAGAGUUUAAUAUAUUAGUUAGUGUUUUCUAUUAGGAUUAGUAUUGUUUUGAUUAAUAUAUUUUAUUGGGGUGAUAGAAAAAUUAGAUUAACUUUUAUUAUUGUAAAAACAUAAUUAAGUGGAAAUUUGAUCCUUUAUUUGGGAUUAUAAGAUUAAGUUACCUUAGGGAUAACAGCGUAAUUUUUUUGGAAAGUUCUUAUUGAUAAAAAAGUUUGCGACCUCGAUGUUGGAUUAAAAUUUAUUUUUGGUGUAGCAGCUGAAAGAUUAGGUCUGUUCGACCUUUAAAAUUUUACAUGAUCUGAGUUUAAACCGGCGUGAGCCAGGUUGGUUUCUAUCUUCUAUAUUUUUGAAUGUUUUAGUACGAAAGGACCAUACAUUUGGAAAAUUUUCUUGAUUUGAAUUU